AUUUUAAUUUGAUUUUGUUUAACUAUUUUAAACAUGUAAUCGUUAUGCUCUAUUUGAUCCUUUUAAACACUCAGAUGGAAAAUUCUGAUGGCAGAUUUUAGAGAACACAAAGCAAAGCUAGAGGAAUGAGUUUGUUCACUUAAAAAAGAGGAGGUUACAUGUAGAGAUUUUAACUAUUUUCCAAUGCAUGAAUGAUUAUUAGCAAAAUGUAGUGCUCGGCUGGUCUUCAUCCUUAAAAUAGUAAAACAUUUCAUGUUACACAUGUAUGCUCCUUGCUGUGAAUUAAGCUGAUUGGUUUUCAUCAUUCUGCCAUGUAAGGUGCUAAAAUAAUUUGUAUAGGUGUGCUGUAAAAUUGUCUUCAUUGGAACUUUUCAAGAAAAUGGACAAGUACCUUUGUGGUUAGUCUAAAGACCCUUUAGCUGACUUUCAUGCUUAUGAAGCCUGGAGGCUGAGCAAGGAGAAACCUUAUUGAAGAGAUGGAAGCUGCACUGUGAGUUACGUGUAACAGAAACCCAGCUGAGACAAGAGCCUGCUUUAAGAACAGUAGACCAGCUGGUCAACUGAGGAGGAAGCCAGGCCUGUUUAGAAAGAUAUGUCUUAUUUGUUCCUGAUCUCUUCUGGAGCUCUCAGCGCAUUUCAGAGUGUAAUAGAUUAGACAUCACAGCUCCACUAUGGAACAGAACUUGCAUUCCUUGGCUGCCUCUGGAUGGGCAAAUGCUGGUAGAGGCUGGAACCCCCCUGUGCCUGACUAGCAGCUAGCGAAUACCUUCCUUGUCAAGGACCUUGCUGCAUCUCUCUGCAUUUCUCACUUCCAUUCUGGAUCACUGCACUCCUCACCAGAACAAAGUGUUUCCAUGAAGGGGUUAAUUCAGGUAGAAACUAAGAAAAAAAGCCAGAAGAUCUGCCUGUGGAAAUGAAAGGAAGGAAGGAAGUAGGAAGGAAGUUAUUUGGACAAGCAAUUUGCAUAGAGCUGAGAUGUUGGAUUUUAAGAAAAAGCAGUAAAGGAUUGCAGGUCUUAACUUUCCUCGUUAAACUAAUGAGGUCUGUGCGGAUGGGGUUUACAUUAAAUGGGAUUCCUUCUAGGUUGAAUGGAAUGUCUGUAGAAUGGCAGCAAUGAUUUCUAAAGCGUAGGUCUGAUGGUCUCUCUGAAGUUGUUAUUCUUUAUGAAUAGAUUCAAGAUUUUUCUCAGCUUUAUUACUUCUGUCUGAGAACAUAAAACUUUACACAUGCACUACAUAUUGAAUAUAUUUAAUGAUAUUGAAGUGUUCAUGAUAUUUUUGAUGAGGUUCUGGUUACAGGCAGGUAGCAUCUUUGUGGGUGUGGGAUUAACUGUUAUUUUUCUAGCUGAAACUGUAGCAUAACUGCUGUUUUUCUAGCAGAAGCUGUACCUUAAUCCUGACAAAAACAGAAACAUCAGAAGGAUUUGCUCUGUGAAUAAGAAGUGAGACAGCAAAUCCGGGGUUUUAAGGUCUGCAGUUAAUAAAACUUUAUACUGCUGAGAAGUCAGUAAGUAUCU